rnacentral:lncRNA from 10 species
CCGCGAUGAAAUUUCAACCUGCCCAACACGAUUACUGGUCCACCUAGAAAUGCCGUGGAGCGAUUUAAGAGCCUCGGAAAUUUCCUUUAAGGGCAUUCAAGCAGCCCUGAGGAGAGGUCCACAUGGUGAGCCACUGAGGGCCUUGCCAAGAGCCAGCACCAACGGUCCAGGUUUGGAGUGUACCACCUUGGAAGUGAAUCUUCCAGUCCAGUCAAGCCUUCAGAUGACUUCAGAACCGUCCAUGUAAGCCACUCUUGGAUUCCUGACCCACAGAAACUGUUGGAGGCAUUAUCAACAGUUUCUAACAUCACAGACAGACAAACAUGUGCCUCCUGAUUGAAAAAACAGAACAUCACCUGUAGUCUUGCCAGUGAGAUCAAACUGAAGUCCAAUUAACCUCUGGAUCCAGCUGCCAAUUUGCAGGAAAUAGAGGAGAGAAGCAUCUGUUGAACUGCACCAUGAGUAUACACUCAGCAAAGGCCAAACUGUGGAAAAUGAUACAGGUCAAACAGCCUGGAUUCUUUAACAGUGAUGUUUCUGAAGCACCAAUGAAAAUGAAGUCCUGAAGUCCUGUGCUCAAUAUGAAAUGUUGGAAGUUAGAAGAAAAAAACAAAACUUGGAUCCAAUCUCAAGGCACUUUUUGUUUAAUGGGAAGAAGUGGAUUAUUUUAAAAGCUACAAAUAAAGUUACAUAAAAGUAGCAAA